rnacentral:rRNA from 1 species
GUAGGUGGCAAGCGUUGUCCGGAAUUAUUGGGCGUAAAGCGCGCGCAGGCGGUUCUUUAAGUCUGAUGUGAAAGCCCACGGCUCGACCGUGGAGGGUCAUUGGAAACUGGAGAACUUGAGUACAGAAGAGGAAAGCGGAAUUCCACGUGUAGCGGUGAAAUGCGUAGAGAUGUGGAGGAACACCAGUGGCGAAGGCGGCUUUCUGGUCUGUAACUGACGCUGAGGCGCGAAAGCGUGGGGGGAGCAAACAGGAUUAGAUACCCUGGUAGUCCACGCCGUAAACGAUGAGUGCUAAGUGUUAGGGGGUUUUCCGCCCCUUAGUGCUGCAGCUAACGCAUUAAGCACUCCGCCUGGGAGUACGGCCGCAAGGCUG